GGUCCUGUGGCGCAACGGAUUAACGCGUCUGACUACGGAUCAGAAGAUUCCAGGUUUCGAAUCCUGGCAGGAUCG